UACGAGAGGCCCAAACAUUAUUCGGAAUUACUGGGCUUAAAGAGUUCGUAGGCGGCAUGGAAAGUAGGGUGUGAAAUCCCUCGGCUCAACCGAGGAAUUGCGCUCUAAACUGCCGUGCUAGAGGAAGCUAGAGGUGAGCGGAACUGAUGGUGGAGCGGUGAAAUGCGUUGAUAUCAUCAGGAACACCGGAGGCGAAGGCGGCUCACUGGGGCUUUUCUGACGCUGAGGAACGGAAAGCCAGGGUAGCGAACGGG
rnacentral:rRNA from 1 species